rnacentral:rRNA from 1 species
UACGUAGGGGGCUAGCGUUGUCCGGAAUCAUUGGGCGUAAAGAGCGUGUAGGCGGUCCGGUAAGUCCGCUGUGAAAGUCGGGGGCUCAACCCUGGAAUGCCGGUGGAAACUGUCGAGCUCGAGUCCGGAAGAGGCGAGUGGAAUUCCUGGUGUAGCGGUGAAAUGCGCAGAUAUCAGGAGGAACACCAAUAGCGAAGGCAGCUCGCUGGGACGGUACUGACGCUGAGACGCGAAAGCGUGGGGAGCAAACAGG